AACAGACUUGUAACAUCACCUCAAAUCUUUCCGAAACGUAAAAACAGCGUUCAGCUGCAAAUUCAACUGUGAGUUACAGAACACAACAACUAGCACUAUAAACAGCAACAACGUGAGAGGAAGGCAUCCCCAGCCCCUUCGCCUUUAAAAUGCCAUGGAAGCAGUGGCUUUCAGCAGAACACCUUAUCUGCUCUCGAGAGCUGUGACUCUUCAUCCUUUCCUUAUGAAGACCCAGGGGAUUGCUUACUUAGCAUCCACCAGAGGCAAUGGAUAGGGUGAGCAGUCACUGCAGCCAGAAAAGCCCAGCACGGAGCAAAGGCAAUUACCUCCGCACGCAGAGACUUUGGAGCUGAAUUGUGCUGAACGGAGAACCCCUCCGGCUGGCAGAGCCAUGUGCGGCCGAGAAGAGCAGCCACUUUCGCUCCGCUGAAAAGCAAUGCAAGCUGUGCUUGCUGAACGGUCCUGUGCUGAACUAGUGCUGCUAGGGAACCCUCGUGGUGUACGGUGCUGCUGGGUGCAAUCAUUAAGGCAAUGAGCAAACGCUCUCCACUUGUUGUCCAACUUUGAAGACGGGCAGAUCUACAAGGUCCCCAGAAGCUCUGUUCCUAAAGCAGAAGUGCAAUAGUGCUCAAGGAGGAUUAAAGGACUAGGAUCGAGUACUUCCUAAAUACUGCUGCCUGCCCCUGUUCUAAACAACAGCUCAAAAAUAACAUACUUGCCUCUUCCGAGGGCUGUUCAAGAAGUAUAGGUAUGCACCCAAAAUAUAUCCAGAAGUUGAAAGAUCAGGCUCAACAUUUUGCAAAAAUAUUCCUACAGGGCAGUUUGACCUUCAGAAGAUACAGAACUGGCCCACGGUUCCUCUUUCUCUGAAGCUUUAGAAAAGAAUUCUGACAUAGGGCAUUUUGGUGGGUAGUUCAAUGCAAUGAACUUAAAAAAUAAGGCCAUGGAAGUACAACUACUGAUAAGCUCAGUGAUCAGUGACAGACUGCAAAACAGACAUCUGAUUUGCACAGAAACAUCUGGAGGGAGCUCCAAAUGCUCUGUGCUUGGUUCUGAGUCUCUGGGACUUGGCUCGUGGAAUUUUUAAUGUUCUUUUAAUCUCUUUUGAACAUAAAUAAGAGGGGAAGAGCAUGUGAACUUAACGAGUGUUUGCUUCAACAACAGCUUCAGAGACAUGUACACUUUCUGAACAUAACUUUAACAUUACAUUUCAUAUCCAUUUCACCUAGCCCUGGCAAGGCUAAGCCCCUGGGGUCCUAUUCACAAAUACUCAUGGCAGCCAGCGAGGGAAGGAUUCCAAGUCAGGAGGAACAUCAUAUCCCUGGUGUGUCAGUCAGUACUUUGUUCAGAGGGAAAGACGACGAAGCAAGACAGAAGGCUGCUGAAAACACAGAUGCUCACAUUUCUCCCACUAGAAACAGAACAAGAAUUUAUUUUCUUUUAUCAUAAAUCACAGGUUUUCUCUUAACGCUAUGCUUUAGACCUUCAGUCAGGGCUUAUGGCAGUAUAGAACCGCAUGCUCAAGUAAAUAUAAACUAUCUGGUGGAAAUGUCUUUCCUUAUUUCUCUUUCUACUGCUGCCCCAUCUGAUUGAUUUGUUGAUUACUGGAGAAUUUGCUGCAUCACACCUUUAGUUUAGUUUAAGCUAUAAACUGGCCAGAAGUAAGCUGAUGUCCCCCAUUCAAUAUUGUUUUUCUGCACUGAUAUUCAAGCCCCCAUUGUCUCUGCCAGCAUCACCAACCUAUCUAUCACUUCUUACCAAAUGACCACACCACACCAUAUGUUGCAGAAUUAUUUUGGAUUUUCACCAGCUUAGUUUAAAAAUCAGUCCUCGAUCUGAGCAUGAUCCAGCCAAGAGGAGGAAAAACUAAUAGAUAUGAUAUCAUUUUUUCUACCUUCCUUGAAGGCACUAAGUAUUUGUCACACAGAGCCUUGCCAUAUUGAUCCCUUUACCUUCACUAUGAAGAUGGAUCGUGCUGUGUGUGGGUCUGCCCGAGUCAUUUUGUGAACCUUGUGCUUCUUUAUGGGGGAAAUUGGGGAAAAUAAUAUGUCAUAUCAAUGUGGCGUAUCAAUUACACACGAUAGUGCAAAGAAAGGCCUAUAAAGGAGAGGUAUCAUGGAGUCAGAACAAAGGUGAGAUUAUACACAUUUACCAAGUGGCCCAUUUACUGUGAGGUUUCUAGAGAGGUUCAGAAAGAACUGGUAUUAGGCUGGGAAGGGAAAUCACUCCAAGCUGGCAACUUGUCAGGAAAGUAUCUGCCAUUACAUGAGGCUCAAAUAAUGACAAAUCAUAACAAAUCAUUCAAAGUCAUGAAACUCGGGAACUCCGUUCACUUCUCAUGGGCUGUGUCUGUUCACCACAUGAAAGAUGACUAACACAUUCUCUCCCAAUUCAGACUCUGUCACACCAUUACAAUGCUUGGGAUUCUCUGUGUUUGCCACGGGGAUUUUCUGGAAAGAAGCAGAUUCUCCAGUUCAGAAAACAACUGAUGCCACUUCAUAUCAUUUUUAUCAUUGAGCCACAUCUCAGAAAUGACCUUUUUAAGAGUUGUCUGAAGAAUGGGAACAGGUUGGUACUCACAUUCUAGCAAGUAGAAAGAAAAAUCUAACCCAGAAUGCUCCUAGCAUCCUACUUUGGGUCUUGAUUCCAAAUCAGCAGACAGCAAUGAGGAGACUGGAUCAGAACUCAGCAGACUUCCAUUUAAGGCAGAUAAGAAUGCUGUUAGUAAUCAACAACUACUUACAUUUGCAAAACUUAUCCUUUUGUGGAGCAAAAGAUAAAAAGGAGCACAAACAAACCUGACCUUGCAAUCACUCACCUUUGUGAGCAAUCUUCUCUUUUGCAAAUAGGCUGCCUCUCAUCAGUGCCUUUAUUUGCUUAAGUCCUUGCAGAUACAUUAAAGAUUUAUAGUAGAGCUGUUACAGGCAAUGAAGGAAGUUAUAUGUCACCCUUUUGUUUUCUAAUAGUGGUUUGAUUUAAACUAUGGGGAACAAAGGAAGUAAUAUUUUAAAACAGGAAUGAAAACAUAAUGCAGCCACAAAUAAAGUCUGGUCAUACAUGGAACUUAAGCAGAUAAAAUGACUUUUGUCAUGAAGAAACACUGUGCCUCAGUAGUAUUUCGUAUCAGUGCUUCCCAGACUAGGAUUGGUUUAAACUGUCCUUAAGACACCCUCAGAUCUCCAAAUGUAGCUGGAGCAAACCAGAAAAUGGGUAAAAUAACAAGCAUCUCUGAACAAAAUGGAAACAAACAAAACCAGUAAAUUAAGAUUUGGAAAGGAAAUGAAAGCAGCAUAUCCUCCGCAAAGUUUAUUUAAGCAGCAUUCAGUACGAAAGCUUUUAUUACCUUUAAUCUGAGAGGAAAAUAAGCAAUGGGUCACCUCAGUGGGUCCCAGAUGGAUAUACCU
rnacentral:lncRNA from 1 species